rnacentral:tRNA from 1 species
GGUGAUAUACCUUAGAGGUAGAGCACAUGCUUAGCAUGCACGAGGUCCUGGAUUCAAUCCCCAGUACCUCCA